rnacentral:misc_RNA from 1 species
GAUGAAGAACGUAGCGAAAUGCGAUAAGUAAUGUGAAUUGCAGAAUUCAGUGAAUCAUCGAGUCUUUGAACGCACAUUGCGCCCCCUGGUAUUCCGGGGGGCAUGCCUGUCCGAGCGUCAUUGCUGCCCUCAAGCACGGCUUGUGUGUUGGGCCGUCGUCCCCCUCCUAGGGGACGGGCCCGAAAGGCAGUGGCGGCACCGCGUCCGGUCCUCGAGCGUAUGGGGCUUCGUCACCCGCUCCGUAGGCCCGGCCGGCGCUUGCCGACGACCAUCAAUCUCUUUCUCCAGGUUGACCUCGGAUCAGGUAGGGAUACCCGCUGAACUUAAGCAUAUCAAUAAGCGGAGGA